GAUGAACGCUGGCGGCGUGCCUAAUACAUGCAAGUCGAGCGAACGGACGAGAAGCUUGCUUCUCUGAUGUUAGCGGCGGACGGGUGAGUAACACGUGGAUAACCUACCUAUAAGACUGGGAUAACUUCGGGAAACCGGAGCUAAUACCGGAUAAUAUUUUGAACCGCAUGGUUCAAAAGUGAAAGACGGUCUUGCUGUCACUUAUAGAUGGAUCCGCGCUGCAUUAGCUAGUUGGUAAGGUAACGGCUUACCAAGGCAACGAUGCAUAGCCGACCUGAGAGGGUGAUCGGCCACACUGGAACUGAGGCACGGUCCAGACUCCUACGGGAGGCAGCAGUAGGGAAUCUUCCGCAAUGGGCGAAAGCCUGACGGAGCAACGCCGCGUGAGUGAUGAAGGUCUUCGGAUCGUAAAACUCUGUUAUUAGGGAAGAACAUAUGUGUAAGUAACUGUGCACAUCUUGACGGUACCUAAUCAGAAAGCCACGGCUAACUACGUGCCAGCAGCCGCGGUAAUACGUAGGUGGCAAGCGUUAUCCGGAAUUAUUGGGCGUAAAGCGCGCGUAGGCGGUUUUUUAAGUCUGAUGUGAAAGCCCACGGCUCAACCGUGGAGGGUCAUUGGAAACUGGAAAACUUGAGUGCAGAAGAGGAAAGUGGAAUUCCAUGUGUAGCGGUGAAAUGCGCAGAGAUAUGGAGGAACACCAGUGGCGAAGGCGACUUUCUGGUCUGUAACUGACGCUGAUGUGCGAAAGCGUGGGGAUCAAACAGGAUUAGAUACCCUGGUAGUCCACGCCGUAAACGAUGAGUGCUAAGUGUUAGGGGGUUUCCGCCCCUUAGUGCUGCAGCUAACGCAUUAAGCACUCCGCCUGGGGAGUACGACCGCAAGGUUGAAACUCAAAGGAAUUGACGGGGACCCGCACAAGCGGUGGAGCAUGUGGUUUAAUUCGAAGCAACGCGAAGAACCUUACCAAAUCUUGACAUCCUUUGACAACUCUAGAGAUAGAGCUUUCCCCUUCGGGGGACAAAGUGACAGGUGGUGCAUGGUUGUCGUCAGCUCGUGUCGUGAGAUGUUGGGUUAAGUCCCGCAACGAGCGCAACCCUUAAGCUUAGUUGCCAUCAUUAAGUUGGGCACUCUAAGUUGACUGCCGGUGACAAACCGGAGGAAGGUGGGGAUGACGUCAAAUCAUCAUGCCCCUUAUGAUUUGGGCUACACACGUGCUACAAUGGACAACACAAAGGGCAGCGAAACCGCGAGGUCAAGCAAAUCCCAUAAAGUUGUUCUCAGUUCGGAUUGUAGUCUGCAACUCGACUACAUGAAGCUGGAAUCGCUAGUAAUCGUAGAUCAGCAUGCUACGGUGAAUACGUUCCCGGGUCU
rnacentral:rRNA from 1 species